rnacentral:lncRNA from 1 species
GGCGGGGCGCGGCGCGCGAGCUGCUGACGCACGCGGCCGGCGGAAGGGGCGGGGAGGCGGACCGCGAGAGCCGGGACCGCGCAUCCUGGACCCCGAGCCCCGAGACGUGGACCCGGACCACGAGCCCCGAGGCCCGGGACCAGACCGCGAGAGCCGGGAACGCGGACCCCGGACCACGAGCCCCGAGAGCCGGGACUGCAGACCCCGGACCACGAGCCCCGAGACCUGGGACCGGACCGCGAGAGCCGGGACCGCGGACCCCGCACCCCAAGACCUGAGACCCGGGACCGCGGAUCCCGGACCCCGAACCCCGAGACCCGGGCCGCGGGCACAGCCCGGGAGGAGAGGCCGCGCGGCCCGCCCGGGGUGGCGGCGCCCCGGAGGUCUCGGCGCGGCUGCCGCAUCCCAUCCCGGGGUCCCAGCCCGGACGAGGCUCCGUCCUGGUCCCCCGGGGCCGGCCACCUGGAGGAGGCCUCAUCCCCGGGAGCCGGUCACCUGAGGAGGACCCGUCCUCAUCCCUGGGGUCCCAUCGCCCGAGGAGGCCCAGGAGGCGGGUCACGGCGGGCGGCCGCAGGGGCACGGGUGGGCAGGCCGCCGGAGCUCGGCGGUCGGGCGCCCCUCCCGGUGGAGCAGGGACCGUGGCCGCGCGGUGUCCCGGCGCAGGUGCCGAGCCGCGGAGACGCCCCUGCUCGCUCCACCUUGGCCGUGACGGCGUCCUCGGUUCAUUUAGGAAAAAGACCCCCAGACUUGCAGGUGUCCACGGAGGGGUCCCAGCUCCCAGGACGUCGGAAAGGAGGCUGAGACCGCGGGCCUGUCGGGGCGCGUGGGAGGCCCGCCGUCUGCGGCUCCCCGCGCCUUCCCGGGGCUGAGCAGCCCGAGGGGGGCCCUUCAACCUGAGCAGCAUCUUCGGGGAGGAGGCUGUCAAGACUUCUGUCCCAGAGCUCUGCAGUAACUGCCGUUAACGUGAGGGUGAUGAGAGCUGGCUCCGCCCCGUGAUUAGUGGCGCAUACUGGAGAACAGAGGCUGCCAGAAGCUGGAAUCCGCGACCCUGGAAGGGAGCAGGUUAAUCCCCGCUUGGCGUCUGAGCCUGUACUGUUUACCUCGCACUCGACUCUAAUCUGUGAGUUGAUUGUCAGCUUCAGUUUCCUGGGAGAGCACACAGCCUUAACCUGAAGUGGACCCUAACCAUGGAGAAGUCCUGCGGAAGCCAAUGGGAUGGCACAGUCAUCUCAACCCUGAGAGAAAAACGGUCCUUCCAGCCAGGGGAGGCAGGAGGAUGCGACCCUCUCUGAAGAACGUGGAGGGAAUCCGUGUUUAUUGUUUCUCUCCUCAUUUUGCCUGAGGGCAGUUCCUUUUGGCAAAAUCAUGGGGCAUGUCGGCGGGUAACAACCAGAGAGAAACCGAGACUUUCUAACCAAAGCACCAGGAAAAGAGACCCCAGGGGGCCAGAGAGCCCGGGAGUCAUCCUGGAGAGGAGAGGCCUGGAAAGCAGCUCACCAUUCUGUGUACGAGCAGACACACGUGCCCAGCGCUGCAUGUGCAAGGCAGAGCAGAAGCACGUUCGAAAUGAAUCGACACUGGAACUGCCACCAACAGAGAAAGACGGGGCUGCUGUCAGAGGAUAACCAGCGCAAGUCUGCUGAAGCACAACUAAACAUGCCCCAGAGAAUUCUUUAGAAUUUUAGCACACAGGGUCUCCCAGCAUAAACAGACAGUCCUUGCUUUGCACAGCAGGACAGACCGUAAAAAUGGCCGUGCCAGCUGAAACUGUGCCCUGCAGCCAUAAUAACCACUGGGUAAAGUUAGGAUUUUCUGUGACUUUUAGAAAUUUUCAUCAAAACAUCAAAAACUCAUAUUGUCGGUUAUAAAUGUGUGAGGAAAUGAGCAAAAUAGUAAAAUUAAUAUUUAUUUUGUACAUUGCAAUCAAAAACAUUAGUAACACAAGAUUAAACUGUUUUCAGUCUUCGUGAAAAACUCACCGAGUCAUGUGAACGGCACCUGCCUUCGUAAGUGGUAUAACUUACUUCACAACUCAUCGUACUCCUUUCUAAGUUUGCAUCAGCUUCCAACGUUUUCUCCUUUGUGCUUCUAAUGUCAUGAAAUAUCUCCAGGUUCCUUUAAUGGGAGUUUUUUUGCCGGUGUCCCUUCCUCUGGGACAUCUUCGUCCUUUUUGUCACAACCACUUUGCUCACUUGUUUGAUAAAUUCACUUCACUCGGUUCCUUUGACAGCACGUCUCGACUGUCUGGCUCGUGCAGUUGCUCUGUCUUUGAUGACCCCAUUUAUGUUUGCUUUGAAUUUCACUCUCAUUGUUUCCAGCUUCCAUUUCUUCGCUGCACUUUCAUCCUUGUUGGCCAAUGCCCUCUUUGGAUGACCACUUUUGUAAACUGUCAUGUGGGUUUAUCACUGGAGACAAGGAGGCAACGCAACCACAUGCUUUGCUGUCUGUGCACAUGAGCUAAGAGGCGUGCAGUGCCCAGUCACCGACAGACUCUGCAAGAAGUGCUGUCAUCAGUCACCGAGCACGAUGCCAUCUGCUGUUCACGUGUGAUGGGUGGAGUGGGGCCACCCACACAGUUUCAGCGAGACAGAACUUCAUGCAAUUACUCACAGUUACUACACUGAGUUUAAAGACAGACAGAAUGAUGCAGCCUGUCAGUAAUCCAACACAGGAAAGCGGGUCUGCAGCCUUCGCGGGGUAGGUGCGGGCAACCUGACGUCAGUGAUCCAGCAGAGAAAGCGAGUCUGCGGCCGUCGGGGAAGCUGGAGAGAUGAGAGAAGUCCUAGUGCUGACCACAGGGUCACUCCACUCCCGCCAUCUCUUGGGAAGCUCUUGAUUUCCUUAUUGUGGUGACACAGCAGAAGAGCGGGCUGAUUCAGUCCCCAGAAGUGGUGUGUACCUUCCAGAAGGCUGUAUGCAUUUGGCCUCUGUUUCCACCCCUGAGCUCCACGCUGGUCUCCAUUUCAGGGACUCAGUGACAACUCACUCAGUCCUGGCCCCCAAGUGGAACAGAGACAGCGUGUGCCACAUUAAUUGGUGCCACAUCUCAUGGGCAGGCUGGCGUGGACUGAGCCUGGGGAACACGUGGCUGCCACACUUCUUCCUGUCCCUGCACACAGCACCUGCUGGAGGAGGGCCUGCCUGAUUGGGCCUGAGGGCUGGCUCAUGAACUCCGGGCACUGCAGCUUCACUUGUAACAGCCAGCGUCUGGAACCAGCCAAAUGUCCAUCCACAGAAGAAUGGAUAAGCAGGUUGUGGUCUGCCCAUAUCAUGGAAUUCAACUCAACAAUAAAAACAGAUGAACUGUUUAUUCACAAAACAGCAUUGUUGACCCUCAAAAGAAUUAUGCUGAGUGAAAGAAGCCAGACGAAAAAUAAUUUUUACUGUAUGAUGGAUUCCCUGUGUAGAAAACUCUGGAAAAUGCAAAUAUAACUGAUACUCGGUGACAAAAAGCAGAUCGGGGGUUGCUUGGGAGGGGAGCAAAGGAGCACAGGAAACUUCUGGAGACGAUUAAUAAGUUCACCAUCUUUAUUGUGCUGACAUUUUCACAGAUGUCUAUGUCGAACUCAUU